GGCUCAGUGGUGUAGUGGUAUGAUUCUCGCUUUGGGUGCGAGAGGCCACGCGUUCGAUUCCCGUCUGAGCCC
rfam:Nematostella vectensis strain CH2 x CH6 NEMVEscaffold_39_Cont6467, whole genome shotgun sequence.